rnacentral:rRNA from 1 species
CCUACGGGAGGCUGCAGUGGGGAAUUUUGGACAAUGGGGGAAACCCUGAUCCAGCCAUCCCGCGUGUGCGAUGAAGGCCUUCGGGUUGUAAAGCACUUUUGGCAGGAAAGAAACGUCCCGGGAUAAUACCCCGGGAAACUGACGGUACCUGCAGAAUAAGCACCGGCUAACUACGUGCCAGCAGCCGCGGUAAUACGUAGGGUGCAAUCGUUAAUCGGAAUUACUGGGCGUAAAGCGUGCGCAGGCGGUUCGGAAAGAAAGAUGUGAAAUCACAGAGCUUAACUAUGGAACUGCAUUUUUAACUACCGAGCUAGAGUGUGUCAGAGGGAGGUGGAAUUCCGCGUGUAGCAGUGAAAUGCGUAGAUAUGCGGAGGAACACCGAUGGCGAAGGCAGCCUCCUGGGAUAACACUGACGCGCAGGCACGAAAGCGUGGGGAGCAAACAGGAUUAGAUACCCUAGUAGUC